rnacentral:tRNA from 1 species
GCGAGAUAGCUCAGUCGGUAGAGCACUGGAAUCAUAAUCCAUUGGUCGUGGGUUCGAGUCCCUCCCUCGCC